CGAAAGCCUGACGGAGCAACGCCGCGUGAGGGACGAAGGCCUCUGGGCUGUAAACCUCUUUUCUCAAGGAAGAAGAUAUGACGGUACUUGAGGAAUAAGCCACGGCUAAUUCCGUGCCAGCAGCCGCGGUAAUACGGGAGUGGCAAGCGUUAUCCGGAAUUAUUGGGCGUAAAGCGUCCGCAGGCGGCCUUUCAAGUCUGCUGUUAAAGCGUGGAGCUUAACUCCAUCAUGGCAGUGGAAACUGAUCGGCUUGAGUAUGGUAGGGGCAGAGGGAAUUCCCGGUGUAGCGGUGAAAUGCGUAGAUAUCGGGAAGAACACCAGUGGCGAAGGCGCUCUGCUGGGCCAUUACUGACGCUCAUGGACGAAAGCCAGGGGAGCGAAAG
rnacentral:rRNA from 1 species